rnacentral:rRNA from 1 species
AAGUUCCAAGUUUUGAGUUUAUCUUAAACACUUGUUACAUGGCACCUGAUACUUUAUUACAUUCUAGUGGCGACGGGUGAGUAACACGUUGGAACCUGCCCCAAAGUGAGGAAUAAGCCACCGAAAGGUGGUCUAAUACUUCAUAAUAUCCAUCUCGUAUGGAUUAAAGCUUUAUGCGCUUUGGGAGGGGCCUGCGUAACAUUAGCUAGUUGGUGAGGUAAAAGCUCACCCAAGGCUUCGAUGUUUAACUGGUUUGAGAGGAUGACCAGUCACACUGGGACUGAGAUACGGCCCAGACUCCUACGGGAGGCAGCAGUAAGGAAUCUUCCACAAUGGGGCAACCCUGAUGGAGCAAUACCGCGUGCAGGAUGAAGCGUUUCGGCGUGUAAACUGCUUUUAUCACCGAAGAUUAUGACUGUAGGUGAAGAAUAAGGACCGGCUAACUACGUG